AUUAAUUUAUAGUCCAGCAUUUACAAUAGAGUUCACUGUGUUUUACAGUCCUAUAGUUUUUAACCACAUUUUCAUAUAUAAUUCAGUACUGUUAAUUAUAUUUUGAAACACAUGUCUUAUAAUGAGAAGAAUGGACACCACCAUUUCACUUAAUUGAGCAUCCAAAGGUGUUAGUUAUAUGCACAAUGCUGUGCUCCCAUCAACACCAUCCACCUUGGAUCCCCAGCUGGCUGCAGCCCCGGCCGUCUCCUGUCGUCACCUGGCGAUGGCGGCCGAUCUUGCUGCAGGUAUCAGCAGCAGAGCGAGGGGUGACGGCCAAGUGUCCUGGGUGGCCGCUGCCCCCGAGCAGUGUCCGUGCUGCUGCUGCUGCAGAUUCUCGCCGUGGGCGCCGCCGCCCGUGCCCGAGGCAGCCGUUUCCCCUCGUUUCCGGGUCUCUCUGGAGCGCCCCGCUGUGCUCAGGGCACCUGGAGCCGGGCAGGAGCGGGUGCGGACGGCGGGAGAGGGCGCGGGGAGCCGCGGCGGACACGGCGGGGGGCGGAGGGGGUCCGGGCAUUUUUCUGUCCUAUUUUGAUUGAUUGUGAAGGAAACACAAAAGGUCAAAAUUUAUUUUUGAUAAUUAGUAAAUUCUUCCUGCAGAUGGCUCUCAGUGGAGUUACUGACCUUUCCCUUUAUUUUCCUUUUUGAUUUAGUGAAAUGAUUACUAACAGUUUCUAUUUUUCUAAAACAUGUCCUUACCAAGAGUAAAUCUUCCAUUUGGCUUGCCUUGAUUUUGGUUGGCUUUGCCUUUUUCCUUGCAGCAAGUUUGUAAUACAACUAACAUAAGGGCUCACA